rnacentral:rRNA from 1 species
CAGUCGCCGCGGUAAUACGAAGGGGGCUAGCGUUGUUCGGAUUUACCGGGCGUAAAGGGCGCGUAGGCGGACUGAUAAGUCAGGGGUGAAAUCCCAAGGCUCAACCUUGGAACUGCCUUUGAUACUGUUUGUCUUGAGUUCGAGAGAGGUAAGUGGAACUGCGAGUGUAGAGGUGAAAUUCGUAGAUAUUCGCAAGAACACCAGUGGCGAAGGCGGCUUACUGGCUCGAAACUGACGCUGAGGCGCGAAAGCGUGGGAGCAAACAGGAUUAGAUACCCCAGUAGUCCCUGUCUCUUAUACA